UUUUAUGCAAAUUCAAGAAGGUUUUUGCGACGCUCGGCUCUAUUGCCAUACAAACCGCUCGUUACACCGCGACCGCGGCGUAACUAAUUAAACUUGUAAUUAACGAGCCGGGCUUAUUCGAUCUCGAGGUGUCCGCCACGCACGCCACCACAUGUGCUUACGUCAACCUUGUGUUCGACUUUGUUCACUUAAGUUUCUUUUCGCACUUUUUAUUUUGUUCUCGCGGGAUAUGCAUGACUAAGAGGCUAGAAUUCGUUUGCGAUGCAUCGUGUGACUUCUGGUUUGAAAUUUUAGUUGCAGUGAGUGGUUGAAAUAGAGCGUUUCUUUGACUUGUUUUCGGAUGUUCGUGUUUGACGUAACAGGUUAGGAGAAAGCGCGGAAACAAUAAUACGUGUAGACGAAGGUAAAUUAUAAUCAGCAAGUAUCUGAAUGGAUCGCCGUCGGGGAAGAACGGAUUCCUCAUCUUUACGAUAUCUCUUGGUCAGGUGCAUUACCAUCAAACUGUCGCUAAUUACAUGGCUAGUGCUAUCUUUGUGCACAUAACCGUGGUUGCCUAUGUGCUUCAUUCGUGCAAUUUUAAUGGCGUCGAUUUGCCGCCACCACACACGACGCACUCGGAAACAAUUCAAAUUCUGGACAGGCGCACGGGGAUGAAGUAAUAAUCAUUUAUUGCGAUCCGUGGAAUCAAACAGGAAGCAUGCGUAUCCCUUUGACUCAACUUCACCGAGCAAAACUCACUGGCUGCAACGAUGUGUUUACGAAUGAAACUCAAGAUGCGGCCGAGCCGAUAGCUACUGGCGAUUCGCUCGUUUAACAGCGUAACGGCGAGCCGGCAGGAGUCAGGGCCGGUGACUGGCAUCGCGCGAAGAGAGACGGAUAGAGAGCACCGGGACACGAGGGAGCAGAGAGGCACAGGUAAAAACGUGACUGGGUCCCUACGAGGGUGCUAGAAGAUUGUUGGCUGGUUGCAUGAGUGAAAUUAAAAGAAUAGGAGUUUGCAAUAUGGACGUCGCAAGUGAUCUAUGAUCGAUAAAUGGAAUUUGUGGAGGCCAGUAGAGACGCCAUUGAUGAUUUACAGUCAACUCGUUAACAUCUCACGCAGGAUUUGGUAAUGUUUACAUUUUGAUGAUAUGUAUAACACAGAUAGACGUUUAGUAGUUCUAGUUUUUAACUGUUCUAUCUGCACUACAUAGUUUUGUAAAUUGAGAAAACUGUAUUUAAAAUUCAUGAAGUUCAAUAUCUACUCGAUAUUCAAUAGCAGAAAAAGACUGAAUAUUUUUACUUUCUUAGUAGAAUUUUCAUAAUAUUAUCAUGAAUUCGUAUUCCGUAUACCAAUGAGGCAUGGUUGAAUUGGUUAAUUAUAUUUUUAUGAAAAUGAAGUUAGAACAGUUAAGAAGUAAGACGACAGUAUGCAUACGUUUAUAUCCACUUUUUAUUGAUUCAUUGUUAAAUUAUAAUAUUAAUAGGUAGAUAAGUUGCUACUUAAUAGGAAACACUGUUAACAUUAUUACAAGAUUCUACUUUCUAUUGAUAUUAAUUUGUUUCUAUACAAAUAGAUUGGUAAUUAAUGUAUGCAUAAUUAAAAGUGGUAUUUAAGUAAAUAAAGAAAUGUAAAGUAGAUAAGUAGAAAAUAGAUACGUAAUUAAAUAGAUAAAAUAAUAUAAUACUUUAUGAGAGACACUUCACUUUCUUAAUUUAUUUUAAAUAUCAAUUAUUCUAAAUUUUCAUUUUAAUGAGGAAAUAAUAUUUACAAUCUUUAUGUUAGAAAUAAAUGAAAUGAAGUAUCAUAUAGAAUUAUACAAGUAGUUAAAAAUUUAAUUUGAACUUUAAAUUUGAAAAUUUAUUUAAUUAAUGAAUAAAUGAAUAAAUUAAUCGUUUUACAUGAUGAUUAAUUUAAUCAUUUUGCGAACAUACAUCAAAAGGAGAAUUUGUUCAUAAAUUGAUGUUUGAAAUUGAAUAUUAAUUUUUGCUCAUAAGUGGACAAUCAUCAUUUGAUAUACAAUUAUUAAUUGCUUCAAUGUGAUAAAAUUUGAUGUAUAUUUAUUGUUAAUUAUAUCACCGUGUCAUGGUUAUAAAUUAUACAGUAUGUGUAGCAAGUAAUCUGAGCUGGUUACUUGCGAUCGUGAUUACGCAGUUACGUAGCUAAAUGAUACAAGGUUGCAAAUUAAAAUUUAUUAGAAUGUAAUUUACUUAACUGAAUAUUCAUGGUAAUUCGUAACUCAAUGAUUGAUAAUUUAAUUGUAAAAAGAAAAGGGGAUCGGAUUAACAUACAUCUAUCUGCUUUUCAAGAUCGUGUAUCCUAAUUAACUUAAAGUUAUUGUUUGUAAGAAAAUACAUAUGAUAUAUCAUAGGAUUAUCCUGCAAUUGCUUACUUGAACUUUAGCAGGUUGUAAAACGCAAAGCUUCGUAAACUAAAGUUUCAAAGCUUUCAAUUUUUAAAUGUUAAAACAUAGGAAGAUACAUUUUGAAGUUUCUCGAAGCUGCGAGAGCUCAAUCUUCAAGAAUGAAACUUCAAGGCUUCGAAAUCUGCAUUUUAACACUAUCCUUACCAAACCCGAAGAAAUAACCGGUUUCAAAAUUUAAUUUAGAAUGUACAUUCAUUGUUACUUCUUUUGUUCAUACAACUUUGUGUUAAUUCUUAUAUUAUCCGAUUAAUCAGUUUCUUAAUUUUUGUUAAUAUAAGAAUUUACAUAAAGUUAGACAAACGAAAGAAAUAACAAUGAAUGUAUGAUUUAAAAUCAAAUUUUGAAGCCGAGCCUGGUAACGUUUUAGUGUUAAACCUGCGAAAACUAAAUGCGGAAGGAAAUUGCAAAAGGAUGCUAUAAGGCAGCACCAUCGGGGUCUACAUGUGAUUUUGGACGAUUUUGGACGAAAGAAAAGUGAAAUAAGUUGGAACGUUGUAAAAUAUUGAAACUCUCGAAUACCUGUAAUUGUUUAGAACAAUUUAUUAUAGUAAAGAGAAAGCGGCGGAAAGUGAUGCUAUAAGGCAGCACCAUCGGGGUCUACAUGUGAUUUUGGACGAUUUUGGACGAAAGAAAAGCAAAGUGAAAUAAGGUGGAACGUUGCAAACUAUUGAAACUCUCGAAUACCUAUAAUUAUUUAGAACAGUUUAUUAUAGUAAAGAGAAAACGGCGGGAGGUAUCAGUUUCUGGAAAUAUAUUUAAAUUAAUUCUAUCUUUGGUAAUCGUUGUACGUAACACACGAUGUAACAAAUUAUCUAAUAAACCAGUUUUCAGUUUCCA